CGCGUCCCUGUCGCCUCGAGGGCGCCCUCUCUGUGGGCGUACGGCUUCGAGACCACACAUGCGCGGCAUGGUGCCCUCUGCCCUCUGGGGCGUGUGUACCUGCUGCGUGCGCUUGGGGGAUGCAGAGCAAGGGCGUGUGCGGUGUGAUGCUCGACGCCUCGCGUCUGAUGCUCCACCACGCAGCUGUCCCAUUAUGCAUAUCCUGUGUGCGCUCUAGCCCCGUCGGGGCCCUGAUGAGUCUGCAACAAACCAUGCAUUACACAUCCAC
rnacentral:snoRNA from 1 species